rnacentral:rRNA from 1 species
GAUGAACGCUGGCGGCGUGCCUAAUACAUGCAAGUCGAGCGAACAGACGAGGAGCUUGCUCCUCUGACGUUAGCGGCGGACGGGUGAGUAACACGUGGAUAACCUACCUAUAAGACUGGGAUAACUUCGGGAAACCGGAGCUAAUACCGGAUAAUAUAUUGAACCGCAUAGUUCAAUAGUGAAAGACGGUUUUGCUGUCACUUAUAGAUGGAUCCGCGCCGCAUUAGCUAGUUGGUUAGGUAACGGCUUACCAAGGCAACGAUGCGUAGCCGACCUGAGAGGGUGAUCGGCCACACUGGAACUGAGACACGGUCCAGACUCCUACGGGAGGCAGCAGUAGGGAAUCUUCCGCAAUGGGCGAAAGCCUGACGGAGCAACGCCGCGUGAGUGAUGAAGGUCUUCGGAUCGUAAAACUCUGUUAUUAGGGAAGAACAAAUGUGUAAGUAACUAUGCACGUCUUGACGGUACCUAAUCAGAAAGCCACGGCUAACUACGUG